rnacentral:misc_RNA from 1 species
GAUGAAGAACGUAGCGAAAUGCGAUAAGUAAUGUGAAUUGCAGAAUUCAGUGAAUCAUCGAAUCUUUGAACGCACAUUGCGCCCGCCAGUAUUCUGGCGGGCAUGCCUGUUCGAGCGUCAUUUCAACCCUCAGGCCCCCAGUGCCUGGCGUUGGGGAUCGGCGCGGCGCCCUCCGGGGCGCUGCCGGCCCCGAAAUUCAGUGGCGGUCUCGCUGUAGCCCUCCUCCGCGUAGUAGCACAACCUCGCGGCCUGGAGCUCGGCGGUGGCCAUGCCGUAAAACACCCCACUUCUGAAAGUUGACCUCGGAUCAGGUAGGAAUACCCGCUGAACUUAAGCAUAUCAAAAGCGGAGGA